AUUGAACGCUGGCGGCAUGCUUUACACAUGCAAGUCGAACGGUAACAGCACUUCGGUGGCUGACGAGUGGCGGACGGGUGAGUAAUACAUCGGAACGUGCCUAGUAGUGGGGGAUAACUACUCGAAAGAGUAGCUAAUACCGCAUGAGAUCUAAGGAUGAAAGCAGGGGACCUUCGGGCCUUGCGCUACUAGAGCGGCUGAUGGCAGAUUAGGUAGUUGGUGGGAUAAAAGCUUACCAAGCCGACGAUCUGUAGCUGGUCUGAGAGGACGACCAGCCACACUGGGACUGAGACACGGCCCAGACUCCUACGGGAGGCAGCAGUGGGGAAUUUUGGACAAUGGGCGCAAGCCUGAUCCAGCAAUGCCGCGUGCAGGAUGAAGGCCUUCGGGUUGUAAACUGCUUUUGUACGGAACGAAAAGCCCUCUUCUAAUACAGGAGGGUCAUGACGGUACCGUAAGAAUAAGCACCGGCUAACUACGUG
rnacentral:rRNA from 1 species